rnacentral:rRNA from 1 species
AUUCGCCCUUAGAGUUUGAUCCUGGCUCAGGAUGAACGCUGGCGGCGUGCUUAACACAUGCAAGUCGAACGGAGUACCCCUGAAGGAGUUUUCGGACAACUGAUGGGACUACUUAGUGGCGGACGGGUGAGUAACGCGUGAGUAACCUGCCUUGGAGUGGGGAAUAACAGCUGGAAACAGCUGCUAAUACCGCAUAAUAUGUCUGUGUCGCAUGGCACUGGACAUCAAAGAUUUAUCGCUCUGAGAUGGACUCGCGUCUGAUUAGCUAGUUGGCGGGGUAACGGCCCACCAAGGCGACGAUCUGUAGCCGGACUGAGAGGUUGGCCGGCCACAUUGGGACUGAGACACGGCCCAGACUCCUACGGGAGGCAGCAGUGGGGAAUAUUGGGCAAUGGGCGCAAGCCUGACCCAGCAACGCCGCGUGAAGGAAGAAGGCUUUCGGGUUGUAAACUUCUUUUCUCAGGGACGAAGCAAGUGACGGUACCUGAGGAAUAAGCCACGGCUAACUACGUGCCAGCAGCCGCGGUAAUACGUAGGGGGCAAGCGUUAUCCGGAUUUACUGGGUGUAAAGGGGGCGCAGACGGCAGCGCAAGCCAGGAGUGAAAGCCCGGGGCCCAACCCCGGGACUGCUCUUGGAACUGCGCGGCUGGAGUGCAGGAGGGGCAGGCGGAAUUCCUGGUGUAGCGGUGAAAUGCGUAGAUAUCAGGAGGAACACCGGUGGCGAAGGCGGCCUGCUGGACUGCGACUGACGUUGAGGCCCGAAAGCGUGGGG